rnacentral:rRNA from 1 species
GAUACCCUGGUAGUCCACGCUGUAAACGAUGAUUACUAGGUGUGGGGGGACUGACCCCUUCCGUGCCGCAGUUAACACAAUAAGUAAUCCACCUGGGGAGUACGGCCGCAAGGCUGAAACUCAAAGGAAUUGACGGGGGCCCGCACAAGCAGUGGAGUAUGUGGAUUAAUUCGAAGCAACGCGAAGAACCUUACCAGGUCUUGACAUCGUAUGCAUAACUCAGAGAUGAGAGAAAUCCCUUCGGGGACAUAUAGACAGGUGGUGCAUGGUUGUCGUCAGCUCGUGUCGUGAGAUGUUGGGUUAAGUCCCGCAACGAGCGCAACCCUUAUGUUUAGUUGCUACGCAAGAGCACUCUAGACAGACUGCCGUUGACAAAACGGAGGAAGGUGGGGAUGACGUCAAAUCAUCAUGCCCCUUAUGACCUGGGCCUCACACGUACUACAAUGGCUGCCAACAGAGGGAAGCAAAGCAGUGAUGCAGAGCAAAUCCCCAAAAGCAGUCUUAGUUCGGAUUGUAGGCUGCAACUCGCCUACAUGAAGUUGGAAUUGCUAGUAAUCGCGGAUCAGCAUGCCGCGGUGAAUACGUUCCCGGGGAUUGUACACACCGCCCGUCACACCAUGAGAGUCGGGAACACCCAAAGUCCGUAGUCUAACCGCAAGGAGGACGCGGCCUAAGGUGGGUUCGAUAAUUGGGGUGAAGUCGUAACAAGGUAAC